UACGUAGGGACCGAGCGUUGUCCGGAAUCAUUGGGCGUAAAGAGCGUGUAGGCGGCCACUUAAGUCCUGCGUGAAAUCUUGCGGCUCAACCGCAAGCGGUCGUGGGAAACUGGGUGGCUAGAGUGCGGGAGAGGAGAGUGGAAUUCCUGGUGUAGCGGUGGAAUGCGCAGAUAUCAGGAAGAACACCCGUGGCGAAGGCGGGUCUCUGGGCAGUAACUGACGCUGAGGAGCGAAAGCGUGGGGAGCGAACAGG
rnacentral:rRNA from 1 species